rnacentral:rRNA from 1 species
UGGGGAAUAUUUGACAAUGGGCGCAAGCCUGAUCCAGCCAUGCCGCGUGAGUGAUGAAGGCCCUAGGGUUGUAAAGCUCUUUCACCGGUGAAGAUAAUGACGGUAACCGGAGAAGAAGCCCCGGCUAACUUCGUGCCAGCAGCCGCGGUAAUACGAAGGGGGCUAGCGUUGUUCGGAUUUACUGGGCGUAAAGCGCACGUAGGCGGACUUUUAAGUCAGGGGUGAAAUCCCGGGGCUCAACCCCGGAACUGCCUUUGAUACUGGAAGUCUUAGGUAUGGUAGAGGUGAGUGGAAUUCCGAGUGUAGAGGUGAAAUUGGUAGAUAUUCGGAGGAACACCAGUGGCGAAGGCGGCUCACUGGACCAUUACUGACGCUGAGGUGCGAAGGCGUGGGGAGCAAACAGG